rnacentral:lncRNA from 1 species
UCACCAAAAACGUCCAACUCCAACUCCAACAAAUGAUAUAAAAUAGGGCAGCCGCUCCAACAGAUGAGGUAAAAUAGACCAACCACAUGGCAGCCGCUCCACAAUUUGAUACAUAUUUGAACCAAAUGAUAUCAAAAUCAUCUCAAACCAACAAAUGAAAAAAAAAAGGAGUGUAUGACCAGCAAUAAAGUGCAUUGCAUUGCCAUCAGCGAUAUAUCAUCAGUGAUCUAUCAUCACCUAUGUACUGGCCAGUUCAAUUUGUGCUCUAUUCCUGUUUUACAAACAGUAUAUUAGUAUAACAAUUUUAGGUCUGCACAAGUCAAGUCUUCAUAACAUGUUAACAUGUUUCUACAAUGUUCAACGUUUCAAUUGCAAGUAUUGUACUCCCUCCGCUCCUAAAUAUAAGUAUUUUUAGAGAUUCCAAUAUAGACCACAUACGGAGCAAAAUGUGUGAAUCUAGACUUUAAAAUAUGUCUAUAUACAUCCGUAUGUAGUUCGUCUUGGAAUCUUUAAAAAUGCUUAUAUUUAGGAACGGAGCGAGUACAAAGCAGAACAAACUGAGGCAGCAUCAGUGUGGACCUCCAUUCCUCCCAAACCAUAGGUCACCAAUUUAUGAGCAAGGAACAUAAGAUCUUUUAUCAGGGCGCAUCAUCUAUUCAGGAAGUGAUAUACCUACAAUUCAGAUAAGGGCUUGGAGCAUCACACCCUUUCAUGAUGGUGCUACUCAGAUAAAAGAUACUAUAGGGCAGAUGGAAAUAACUACGGUACGUACAUUAGUUGAAGGAGUAUUCAAACAUCGGAAGGAACUGUGCAGGCCUACGUCCACUAUUUCCUUUCA